GAAAAGUUAGUUAAUUUAUAACAUAUGCUUGUCAUGCAUAAAUUAUCUUAUGGAUACUUUUCU
rnacentral:tRNA from 1 species